rnacentral:rRNA from 1 species
CAGUCCCACGGUAAUACGUAGGGUGCAAGCGUUAAUCGGAAUUACUGGGCGUAAAGCGUGCGCAGGCGGUUAUAUAAGACAGAUGUGAAAUCCCCGGGCUCAACCUGGGAACUGCAUUUGUGACUGUAUAGCUAGAGUACGGCAGAGGGGGAUGGAAUUCCGCGUGUAGCAGUGAAAUGCGUAGAUAUGCGGAGGAACACCGAUGGCGAAGGCAAUCCCCUGGGCCUGUACUGACGCUCAUGCACGAAAGCGUGGGGAGCAAACAGGAUUAGAUACCCCAGUAGUCCCUGUCUCUUAUACA